AUUGAACGCUGGCGGCAUGCUUUACACAUGCAAGUCGAACGGUAGGGUAGCAAUACCUGAGAGUGGCGAACGGGUGAGUAAUGCAUCGGAACAUGCCUAUUUGUGGGGGAUAGCCCGGCGAAAGCCGGAUUAAUACCGCAUACGAUCUACGGAUGAAAGCUGGGGACCGCAAGGCCUAGCGCAAAUAGAGUGGCCGAUGUCAGAUUAGGUAGUUGGUGGGGUAAAGGCUCACCAAGCCAACGAUCUGUAGCUGGUUUGAGAGAACGAACAGCCACACUGGGAGUGAGACACGGCCCAGACUCCUACGGGAGGCAGCAGUGGGGAAUUUUGGACAAUGGGCGCAAGCCUGAUCCAGCAAUGCCGCGUGCAGGAUGAAGGCCUUCGGGUUGUAAACUGCCUUUGUACGGAGCGAAAAGGCUUCUUCUAAUACAGGAGGCUCAUGACGGUACCGUAAGAAUAAGCACCGGCUAACUACGUGCCAGCCGCCGCCGCGG
rnacentral:rRNA from 1 species